rnacentral:lncRNA from 1 species
GCUGGAGGGGCCUCCCUCGCCCGCCUCUCUUCGCCGGCGCUGGCCUCCCGCACCCAGGUCUGCAGUCCCUCCGCCAUCUCGUAGGUGUGCAGCCGCUAGGCCUGGGGGAUCCGAAUGACUGGGGCUGGAUAGGAAUGCCUUCGUGUUUCCCAAGACCCCCGGGCCUGCUCCACAAAGUUUGAAGGGAGGAGUUGAGGCGCCUUGAAUUUUCCUUCGCGAGUUUGGAGGCUAGCCGAUUUUUCAUGAAGCAAGCAAAGACCGCGGUCCCGGAUCCUGCAACAUCUACCUCAUUCUCUCCAGGCCUCUCCACUUGCCCGAGCUCUCAGCCACCAGGAGACAGACAGAAGGGGCUUCUGGGCUGCGUUGGGAGCGGGCACUGUCCCCUACCCACUCCUGCUCGGUUUCCCAAAGUCCAGCGACCUCCGACCCUCCUUGGGGGGAAAAAUACCAGUACCCAGACACCUCCGCACCCUGUUAUAUGACUGGGCUUGCUUCAGGAAUAUCUUACAAAGAAGAAGAAGAAGAAGAAAGAACGGCUUGGAGUCAUGUUUACAUCUAGUUCUACUGAUCCGUUCACAUCUGGAGAGUUUAUUUAUAACUCCCUCUAUAACUCUCUGUUUGGAGGCACUGGUGGCUCUAUUGACAGACUGAUGUCUAGGAAAUAUUGCUCUAUGUCUAACCGUACCUAAAUGUGCUGUGGUUGUAUUUACAGAUUUAUGUUUGAGGGAAAUAUAAUUAUUUCCAUUGUAUUUGUGCAUAUACAGUAGUUAUAGGAGCAGAUUUAUAUAUGGGAAAAUAUAUGACUCUCUUACAGCCAUCCGGCUUUAUGUACAUUUGAUAUCCUGACAGAUUUAUAUCUCUGAACAGCUAUAUAGAUAAAAAUGUAUAUUGUUAGAAUUA